UGAGCUAGCCGUUAGGCUACAACAGGAUAUAUAUACGUACGCAAGCACAACGUUUCUUCUUUACAAGCUCUCCAUUUCAUACAGCCAAGAACAGGUUACAUGCAAGUCUUUGCUGGUGAUAGCUGAAGUUUUCUCAUACUUGCUUGAUCUUCUCUCAAAUCUGAGAUGGAUCCAAGCUACAGUCGUAGAUCAAAAAGUGCACGACGUGUAAACGAAAUUUUGAAUGGACAUGAAGACCUAUGCAAAAGGCACUUCAGAAUGGAGAUUGACAUAUUUCAAGCU